AACCAGAUGCGCAGAGAAUCAGACUGUUGUGUUUUGCUUAUGGAGAAAGCAGCUGUUUUGGGCUCCGUUGACCAAACUGCGAACACUGGACCAACGUAUAACAAAGAACUACGCGGAUUACUAAAAGGCAUUUCGUGAAAGGAGCUUGCGCUCACUCUUUUGUGGAUACAUAACAUUUUUUAAGUGUGUAGUUUCUGUGCUGUUUUAGUUUUAGGAUGUGAAUUCGCUUUGUUGACGAUUGGCAUCUCUGCAUUGCAUCUAAUCUUCAUUGCGAAUAGGCUUAAUAUUGCUGUUGGAGCUAAUUUUGCAUCGAGAACCGCUUGUAAUUGCCUGGAAUGACCACUUCACGUUAUAAGUUUUUCAUAUUCCAUUCAAGUGUGGCUUAGUAUAAUUCAACUGGAGAGUGCAUAAAAAUGUGAUAGAAUAUCUCUUUGAAGAACAUGAAUGCAAGAUUCCUGAUAAAUGUACAAAUCAUGUUCUUCAAGCCAAUGCUGAAGAAAAACAUAUGAAAUUUUCUGUAAUGUAACGGAUGUCCUUGUGCCAUUGAUCCUGGGACACUACCAAGAAACGUGCCAGGAUAUUCCUGAACUCAUGUCCAAUAUGUGAUAGAAAUGUAUUGAUUAUUUUUUAGUAUUUAUUCACAAAUCUUUAAUGAAACUCACAAAACUGGAGGGCAGUACUGCAAUUUUCGAGAUGGUGAAGACUUUCCAAGCCUACUUACCCAACUGCCAUCGCACUUAUAGCUGCAUACAUUGCCGAGCACAUCUUGCAAAUCACGAUGAACUGAUAUCAAAGUCAUUCCAAGGGAGUCAAGGGCGUGCAUACCUAUUUAAUUCUGU